AUUAAAUAGAAAGUAUAAAUAAAAUUAUAAUCAUAUUAGUUAUUGGUCAAAAAUAAAAAAGUGUAAUAAUCAAAAUAGUCAAAAUAAAUUCAAUCAAAAUAAAUAAUUCAAUCAGUCAGUAUAAAUAAAAAGUAAAAGUAAAAUAUUCAUUUAGCAUUGUGUAUGGAUCCUACAGAUUUAUUUGCUUCUAUACAAACAUUUAAAGAAUGUGGCAUUUUUUUUGUUUUUGUAGGCAAUUGUGAAGGGUUAAAUGGUUUUCGAGGUAAUUGGCUGGAAGAAAGUUUAUUACUACUAUACCCAUGCUCGGUCACGUUUUUCCAUUUAGGACAUCUGCCCGCAGUUAAUGUUUUUCUUCCUGCAAUUUGAGUUACUCUUCUUGAUCGAGCGGUUGGCUGUGUGGCAAUAUUUUUGUUGCUGACUAAUUUAGGUUUUUUGGAAGUAUGACUUAAUCCCGAGUACUUACCAAACGUCUCCAUUGCUGAGGUAAACAAAUGCUUAGAUCUAUAUUUAGUUUCUGAGCUAUGAAUAAUUGGUGUUUACAUGGAAACCCUGUAUUGCCACGAGGACAUGUACAAAUGCCAAGAUCUAAAUCCACUAGAUAUUCAGUAUUGUGUUGUAUAUUUGUAACAUCAAAAAGCAUAGAAUUUGUAUUCACAGGUAUUGCGGUGGUCUAAUAGCAGCUAUAUCCAAGAGUUUCAUUUCGUAAAAGGUAUCUAAGUCAUUUAUAAUAAAAUAAAACAAUUGCACUGGAGAAUAAGCCUUAGUUCUCUGAAGAAUAAUAUCUUUCACGAUCUUCAUACCAGCCUCACUUAUAUUGUUUGUAUUUUGACCUCUAGUUAUAAGACCUUUUCGAAAACACAAUGCCCACUGCUCUUUUCUUUCAUAUAAUUUUUGUAAAUAAUAUUCAAAUUUUGGAUAUUUUAAUACAAAUUCAUUUUUAAGUGCAUUUUCAAAUGUAUUUACUAAUUCGUCACUAUUUUUUGAAUAAAUCAUGUGUCUUUUUAAAGAGGAGUUAUGUUUGAAUAUCUGUUGACAUUCGUCACAAUCAAACUUCUAUAAAAUAAAUCAAUUUACUUACUCAUCAAAGUUAUAGUAUUAUAGAAUAUAAAGUAGCCCGAUCCAAUACAAAACAUGAAAACUCACAAAACAAUCUUAAUAACUAUAAGGCAAUGUAUUUUUGAUGUUUGGAAUUUUUAAUUUACUAAUAUUAUUGUACCUAUGUAGUGUUAUUCAUUGCAUCACACUAUUUAGUUAUUGACAAUCAUAUUAUACUGACAUAUUGUAAAUUUAUAAAUAUAUUUUUAAUAUGUGUUGUAUACACUUUU